GUUGAAUCUUCCUGCAUUCUGUCAAAGUGAAGAUUUUUGGGUCUUUUCUGGGUUAUUUUUUCUCUGCAUUUUAUGUUUGAAGCUUGGUCGCAUUAACACCUCCUCAAUUAUACAUAUAUGUAGAGAGAAGGGUAGAUAGAUUGGGGGAUUUUUCUUUAUUGAAGGUAAUUUUUGAGUUUGGAGGUUUGCAAAAUGGAGGCAAAAUCCAAAAAUGGCAAG
rnacentral:misc_RNA from 1 species